AGCGGAUCCCGCGGAGAGUCGCAGGCACUCGGGAGAGUUAAGUCUCGGUUUUUCUGGAAAUUAUGCUAUGAGGUCUUCGGGCACUGCUCCACCACACCCGGCCUUCCGGGGUCUCCCGGGACUGUUGACCUUCAAGGAUGUGGCCAUCACGUUCUCUCAGGAGGAGUGGGAAUGCCUGGACCCUGCUCAGAGGGCCUUGUACAGGGACGUGAUGUUGGAGACCUACAGGAACCUGCUCUCCCUGGGGGAAAAGACAAGAGUCCAGAAAAGAUCAUUUCCCAUUCCUGGCCGUAUGGAAUAGGGACCUAAGAACAUCUGCUCAGCAAAACUGCACAUUUGCUGUGGACCAAAGACCACUGGGUACCUCCUUUUUCUUCAGUAAAUGGCAUAUAUUAUUUGUUCCGCAAGAUAUGUACAAGAAUGUUCUUUGCGGGACCUAAAAGCAAAACCUGGAGAAUGAAUGAAUUCACUCUGUGUGAACACAUGUGGAUGCAAUAAAACCCUCUCAAGGGUACAGCAAUGGAGGAUGAUCAUGGUUGCUGGAUGAUGAUCUCUUGGCAGGGGUGACAGGUUGACUGGUGGAAACAAAGCUAGCAGGAGGCUUUUGCCAAGGUUUAACCUCUGUGGAUAUGAUUAUAUUUGGUAAGAAUAACUUUUAAACUACUUACACAUUUUCAAAUCAGAAUAUCAAUUUUAGCAUGAAGUUUUUUAGUGCAAACAGCUUUGUCAUAUAAAAGUAACAGAUCUCUUUUGCAGGAAUUUUUUAAAGUAUUUGAAAUCAUAUCUUUGGAUCUUUUAACAUUCCAAUCCCAAACAUAAAACAGACAUCAGAUGAGAAGUGCUCUUACUGUAUGUGUAUCACUGAAGAUAUAUCACUAAAGAUAUACUUACUCUUAUCAAUAGAAAUUAAUACGCACUUAACAAAAAGUGAUGAAUUUUGACUUCUGGAACAGCAACAGAAAAUAGUAACCUUAAGGGCUUAAGGGGCAUUACUAAACAACCUAGAGGGGAAAGAACGACUUGUAUGGACAAGUGUUGUUCACAGCAGGGUUUAACCAUAGAAACAGUUCUGGCAGUGCCCAGCUGAUCCAUGGCAGAGUUCUAUGUGCAGAGAUGUGGUUGACAACAUAAGCAGCCAAUUAACAGCCUAAAGAACAGGACGAUAAUAGGAUGUAUAUCAACAAGGACCAGGUGACUUUUGAUGAAAUUUAGUUGAAAGAGAGGACAGGGAACAAAAGAGGCCUCAUUGAAAUAUGUAAUUCAAGGAAUGUAAGAAAAUUUCUGAGAAACAUCGUUAGAAGCAGUAAUAAUGAGGAAACCAUGGAGUAUAAAAAAAUUACCUACAUUUCCUUAAAUAAAAUGAGCUAUUUAAAUAUCAGCAUACCAAGAUGUGCAUGAAGAAUCUACACAGGGAGAAUAAUUAUUAGAAUAAAUUAAUGUUGGGGAAGCUAGUAAAGUAGUCUUGUUCAGGUUUCAGAGGCAGCACUAGGCCUCUCUGACCGGGCAAUGACCCUAAAAGCUGGCUACAUGCCAAACUGCUGAGCUCCCUGCAGGCAGCACACCUUGUAAAUCAUUAGAUAAGAUGGGGCAUAAGUCUGGGGCCUUCUUGCACCCUGAGGGCCUGGCCAGCCCCCAGGGAUCAGAGAACACUCCAAGACUUAUGACUUAAAACCAAGGCACUUAUGACUUAAAACCAAGGCAUUUAUGACAAUAACCAGAGCUGCAAAUUUGCACGCAGGCUGACUGUCGUCCGGGCCUUCCCAGCUGGGAUUCCAGAUUGCUGCUGAGGGGACUUCCCAGUGCUGCUUGGAUCUGGAUGUAGGUGCUUCCCCAAUUCCAUGAUGUAAUAAACCUGUCUUUCCUAUACUUUCUUAGUUAUAUUAUUCUUAAUUAGUAUCCUGUAAUCUUUUAAUUCAAUGAACUCUCUGAAUUCUUGUUUAACUGAGUGUAAGAGUGGUUAUUUUGCCAGCAAAUCCUACGAACGUAAAAUGAAAGUAAAACUUCCAGCAAAACAAUUAUUUUCAGCAAAAAAAAAUUGAAAUUAAAAUAGAAAUCAAAACUUCCUUAUAGAAACUACAGCAAAUCAAUUGAAUGGUAACCUGUGACUAAAACUUAAUAAGAAAAAUUUAAUUGAGGAAAAUGUGUGUUAAAACAAAUGUGAUACCACUAAACACCUAUGAUAGUGGCCAAAAUACAGAACACUGAAAAUAUUAAAAAUUAGAAAUGAUGCAGAGCAGCAGAAACUUUCAUUCAUUGCUGAUGGGAAUGCUAAAUGGUACAGCUAGUUUGGAAGAGUUUGCGGUUUCUUACAGUUUUAAAUAUGAUCUAGCAGUCGCACUACCUGGAAGUUACACAAAUGAGCCACAAACUUCUCUGCAUGCAAAAACAUGCACAUGAAAUAGAACAGAUAAUCCUAAAAUUUGUUUGGAACCAGAAAGACACCGAAUAGCCAAAGCAAUCUUCAGAAAGAAUAAAAAAGGUGAAGGCAUCACAUUCCCUAAUCUCAAGCGAUGUUACAAAGAAUGGAAACUAAAAUGCUACUGGCUUUAAAGCAGACGUAAGUCAAUGGAAGAGACUAGAAAGCCCAGAAGUAAACCCACACAUAUGCAAUCAAUAAAUUUACAACAAAGGAGCCAAAAAUAUACAAGGGGGAAAGGACAGUGUCAUCAAUAAUUAGUAUUGAGAAGACUGAAAGGCACAUACAAAAGAAUGGAACCGGACCACUAUCUUAUACCAUAUGCAUAAAUUAACUCAAAACAGAGUAAAGACUUGAAUGUAAUACCUGAAAAAAAAAACUCCUAGAAGAAAGCAUAGUAAGCUCCUUGAUAUCAUGUCAGUGAUUUUUUGAAUCUGAAAUGAAAAGUAAAAGCAAAAGAAACAAAAAUAAACAGGUCUACAUCAAUCUAAAAAGUUUGUGCACAAGAAUGGAAUCUAUCAACAAAAUGCAAAGGCAACGUAUGGGUUGGGAGAAAAUAUUUACAAAUCAUAUUUAAGGGGCUUAAAAUCUAAAUUACAUAAAGAGCUCACAGCUCAACAGCAAAAACAACAAAAAUUCUGAUUAAAAAAAAAAAAUGGGCAGAAGAUCCGAAUAGAUUUUCUUCUGAAGAAAUCAUACAGUUGGUCAACAGAUACAUGAAAAGAUGUUCAACAUCAUCAUCAGGAGAAUGAACAUUAAAACCACAAUGAGAUCUCACCUCACAAUUCUUAGAAUGGCUUUAACAUAGACAUAAAUAUACGACAAGCAAGUGUUGGCAAGGAUGUGGAGAAAAGGGAAUCCUUGUGUUCUCUUAGUGCCAACACUACGAAAAACAGUACAGAUGUUCUGCAAAUAAAUAGAACUAACAUAAUACCCAGCAAUUCCAUUUCUGGGUAUUUAUAUGAUGAAAAUGAAAACACUAUCUCAAAAAGAUAUAUGUAUCCCCCUGUUCACUGCAGUAUUUACAAUAGUAAACAACCUAAGUGUCCAUCAAUGAAUAUGAAUGAAGAAACUGUGACAUGUCUAAAUAUAUAUAGUGUAAAAAACUUGCCAUGUGUGACAACAUGAAGGGCAUUAUGCUACCUGAAGUGAGUGACACACAGAAAGACAAAUACCUUAUGACUGAAUGAUGAUGGGGGAUUUUUUUUUGGGGGGGGGGUUCUUUUUUUUUACAGAAAAGCUAAUUAGACAUAUCAGUAAGCCGUGCUGUAUUUAAACUACAUCUAAUUUUUGAAUUUUCAAUUUUUGUCAUUAUCCACAUCAUGACUUCUUCCUACUAAAUGAAUCCUGGUAACAAGCCAGGAUGGACAAAAAAAUAACAAGUAGACUUAGCUCCACUUUAUUAGUCAGAUAUUAUUAGGAAAAGGAUCAACAAUACACUUAUCAUCUUCCCAAAGGAUUAAGUUAAUGGAAGGUGGUUUUCCUGUCAAAUGAGGUAACACUGUCUUCUAGACCAAGGUUUUUGGGAGUGAAACUUUAUCUGCUCAAAACAUGUCUUAUACAUUGACAAUUAAUUCUGUAAAAACAGGAAAUGUAAAAACAAGAUGAAUGUAGUCAGAAAACAGUAGCCAUGGGUGGAGGGGGCGUGGUCUAAGGACAGCAGCAUGGGUGUUGUGAUCCACAUGAUUAUUUGUGCAAACACAGUUCUCAGAGGCUGCAGGUAGAAACAAAAGCACCCCCAAGUGGGCCUAAGUACCUUUAAUCCCAGAAAGUUAAGACUGAGGAAUACUUAUAAUUAACCUAAAGGCCUCCCAGUCACGAAAAUCCAUUUGGGAACUGUUACUGUGGAUGCUAUAAGAACCUAGUUUAAAAACAAAAUCUCAAUUAUCUCCUGCACCCUUUAAGCUUCUACCCUCUAAAAGUGAAAAGGAAACCUACAAAACAAUAAAAAAUACUCACCAAUCAUAAAUAUCUGACAAGGCACUUGCAUUUAGAAGAUAGAAAGAACUUAUUUAUACUCAACAAAAAAAGACAACCCAAUUUUAGGAUGGGCAAAGGACCUGAACAGACAUUUCUCCAAAGAACAAAGAAAAAUAGCCAAUAUGCACACACAGAGAAGAUGUUUAACAUAAUUUUUCAAUAGAAAAAUGCAAGUCAAACCCAGGAUGAGGUACAACUCCACACCCCUUACAAUGGCUGUAGUCAAAGAGACAGAUAACAAGUGUUGGUGAGGAUAUAGAGAAACUGGAACCCUCAUACACUCACUCCUGGUGGAAACGUCAAAUGGUGCAGCAGCGCUUCUGGAAGACACUGGCAGUUCCUCAAAAGAUUAAACAGAAAAUUACCACAUGACCAAACAACUGCACUUUUAGCUUUAUGCAAAAGGAAAUGUAAAUAUACGUCCACAAAAAAUGUUCAAAAAUGUUUCUAGCAGUAUUGUUCACAAUAGCCAAAAGGUGGAAACAACCCAAAUGUCCAACAACUCACAAAUGGAUAAACAAAAUGUUGUAUUCGUUCAUGGACUAUUACAAGGCAACAAAAAGGAAUGAGGAACUAUUACAUGCCACAAAAACAAAAAACAAACAUGCAGAAAUAAAUUCCCUGCAUAUCAGUAUUUAUAGCAGCAUUAUCCAUAUCAUCUAAACUUGGAAGGAACCAAAAUGUCCUUCGGUUGGUGAAUGGAGUAAUAAACUGUGGUACAUCCAGGCAAGGGAAAUAUUAUUCACCACUAAAAAGAAAUGAGCUAUCAAACUAUGAAAAGUCAUGGAGAAAAUUAAAUGGAUAUAACUAAGUCAAAGAAGACAAUCUGAAAACGCUAUAUAAAUUGUUUGAUUCCAACUAGAUGACAUGCUGCUGAAGGCAGAUGGAUGAAGCCAGUAACAAGAUCUGUCAUUGCAGCAGUUAGGAGGAAGGGAGAGAUGAAUAGGUAGAGCACAGAGGAUUUUUAAAUAAUGAAAUUACUUUUUAUGGUACUAUUAUGGUACACACAUGUCAGUAUACAUUUGCCCAAACCUACAAAAUAUAUAACACCUAGAGUGAACUCUAACAUAAAUGUGGACUUUGAGGGGGUAAUUCAUGUCAAUGUAGGUUCCUCAGUGAAACAAACAUACUCUUCUGUCGGGUGUUGACUAUGAGGGAGGGUCUGCAUAUCUGGGGUGGAAAAUACAUGGGAAAUCUCUAUAACUUCCACCUAAUUCUUCCAUGAACCUAAAACUCCUUUAAAAAAGAUAGCCCAUUAAAACAAAGGUGUAUGGGUUCAUAAUAGGUACUAACUAAUAUGAAACAGUAAAAGGAAUAGACUACCUUUUCAAAAAUUUCUAGAGGUUAUACGGCUUUUGGGGAAACAAGUGUUAAGUCAGGGACUUCCCUGGCAGUCCAGUGGCUAAGACUUCGCCUUCCAAUGCAGGUGGUGCGGGUUCGAUCCCUGGAUGGGGAGCUAAGAUCCCACAUGCCUCGUGGCCAAAAAACCAAAACAUGAAACAGAAGCAGUCUUGUAACAAAUUCCAUAAAAGACUUCAAAAAUGGUCCACAUCAAAAAAAAUAAAAAAGUUAAGGCAAACACUCAAAAAACAAAUCCUAUAAAAUAUUAAAGAAAUAUUCAUUCCAAACCCCAAAUUGUAGAUAUAAAACAACACUAAGAAUAUCAUCAAAAAUACAGAACUGGGCUUCCCUGAUGGUGCAGUGGUUGGGAGUCCGCCCGCCAAUGCAGGGGACACUGGUUCGUGCCCUGGUCUGGGAGGAUCCCACAUGCCGCAGAGCGGCUGGGCCCGUGAGCCAUGGCUGCUGAGCCUGCAUGUCCAGAGCCUGUGCUCUGCAACAGGAGAGGCCACAGCAGUGAGAGGCCCACAUACCGCAAAAAAAAAAAAAUACAGAACUGAUGAUUGAAUAAAGAAAAAUGAAGGCCAGUUAUAACAAUGAAAUUUGCAAGAUGAAAGUUAUCAGUGAUCUAAAAGCAAAACAAGUAACAGUAGAGUUUAAAUGUCAGCAUCUACCCCAACUAGAAACUAAAAAUACUACAAAAUAGUUUGUAUACCAAUAAAGGCAAACGUACAAUAAAGAUAGGAAAUCAUGCACACACAAAGCUAACAGGGCAGGGAGGUAACAAGACAAAAGUAGUAAAAUCAUCUAUAUCCACAGUAAUUAAGGGAUACACAAAACAAUUAGAUGUAAAAUAUGAUAUCAGAAACAGUAAUCAUGAGAGGAGGAGUACAAAUGCAGGGUUUAUAAAAUGUAUUUGAAAUUAAGAGAUCAGCAACUUAAUCAUGUAUAUAUAGACUGCUAUAUAAAAACCUCAUGGCAAUUGCAAACCAAAAUGCUAUAAUAGAUAUAUACACAAGAAAAAGGAGUCCAAACACAACACUAAAGAUAGUUAGCAAAUCACAAAAGGGAAAAAAAGACCUACAAAAACAAAUCCAAAACAAUUAACAAAAUGGCAGAACAUUCAUAUCAAUAAUUACCUCAAACAUAAAAGUACUAAAUACUCCAACUGAAAGACAUAAACUGGCUGAAUGGAUAUAAAAACAAGACGUGUGGGCUUCCCUGGUGGCGCAGUGGUUGAGAGUCCACCUGCCAAUGCAGGGGACACGGGUUCAUGCCCCGGUCUGGGAGGAUCCCACAUGCUGCGGAGCGGCUGGGCCCGUGAGCCACGGCCGCUGAGCCUGUGUGUCCGGAGCCUGUGCUCUGCAGCCGGAGAGGCCACAACAGUGAGAGGCCCGCAUACCGCAAAAAAAAAAAAAAAAAAAAAACCAAGAUGUGUAUAUAUGCUACCUACAAGCAACUCAAUUUAGAACUAAAAACACAGAGACUGAAAGUGAGGGGAUGGAAAAAGGUAUUCCAUACAAAUGGAAAUCAAAAGAAAGCCACAGCAGCAAUACUUGUAUCAAACAAAAUAUACUUUAAAAUUAAGACUGCUGGGACGUCCCUGGUGGCGCAGUAGUUCAGAAUCCGCCUGUCAAUGCAGCGGACAUGGGUUCAAGCCCUGGUCUUCGAGGGUCCCACAUGCUGCAGAGCAGCUAAGCCCAUGUGCUGCAGCCGCCGAGCCUGCACUCUAGAGCCCAUAAGCCACUGCUACUGAACCCACAUACCACGACCACUGAAGCGCACAUGCCUGGAGCCCGUGCUCCACGACAGGGGAGGCCCCCCAUGAGAGGCCCGCACACUGCAGCAAGGGGUAGCCCCUGCUCACUGCAGCUGGAGAAAGCCCACGUGCAGCAGUGAAGACCCAACACAGCCAAAAAUAAUUUUUUAAAAAGAUUAAGACUGUUAUAAGAGAUAAAGGACACUACAUAUUGAUCAAGGGAUCAUUCUAGAAGAUAUAACAAUUGUAAAUAUACGUGCACCCAACAUAGGACCACCUAAAUAUAUAAGGCAAAUAUUAACAGACAUAAAAGUAGGACUCAGCUGUAACAAAAUAACUGCAGAGAACUUUAACACCCCACUUACCUCAAUGGACAGAUCAUCCAGACACCAAUAAGGAAACACAAGCCUUAAUAACAUAUUAGACUAAACUGACUUAAUUGGACUAAACUGACUUGAUAUAAAUAUAGAGAGGGGGACUUCCCUGGUGAUGCGGUGGUUAAGAAUCCACCCUCCAAUGCAGGGAACUCAGGUUCGAUCCCUGGUCAUGUAACUAGAUCCCACAUACAUGCCUCAACUAAGGAGCACACAUGCUGCAACUAAGACCGGUGCAACCAAGAUAAAAAUUAAAAAUAAACUUUAAAAAUAAUAAUCAUAAGUAUAUAGAAAACAUUCCAUCCAAAAGCAGAAUACACAUUCUUUUCAAGUGCACGUGGACAUUCACCAUGGAUAGAUCACAUGCCAGGCCACAAAUCAAGUCUUGGUAAAUUUAAGACUACAAUCAUAUCAAGCAUCUUUUCCAACUACAGCACUGAGACUAGAAAUCCACUACAGGAAAGAAAAACUGCAAAAACACAAAAAUGUGGACGCUAAGCAAUAUGCUAUUAAGUAACCAGUGGACCACUGAAACAAUCAAAGAGGAAAUAAAAGAUACCUGGAGACAAUAGCCUCAAGAAAAACAGAAAAAGAAGGCAUGACGAUCCAGACAGCAAAAGCACUUCUAAGAGGGAAGUUUAUAGCGAUACAGGGAUCAAGGAAAAUUUCAAAUUAACAACCCAACCUAACCUUACACCUAAAGGAACUAGAGAAAGAAGAACAAACAAAAACGAAAGUUGGUAGAAGGGAAGAAAUAACAAAGAUCAGAACAAAAAUAGAGACUAAAUAAACAAUAGGAAAUGGAAGGAAGCAAGAUGGCAGAACAGAAAAACGUGGAGAUCACCUCCUCCCACAAAUACAUGAGGAAAAAUUCUCACAGAAUACCUAGUGAACGCUGACAGAAGGUGUCAGACAACUGAAAUUGCAAGAAAGAUCACUACAUAACAGGGCAGGAUCAAAGGAAAAAACAAAGAAGGAAUUGGGACAUGACCUGAACUCUGGGGAGAGAGCUGUGAAACAGGAAAGGUUCCCUCAACCUGGGAACCCCCCUCACUGGUGGGAGAUCAGCCACGACGGGAAGGGAGCCUCCGGGGAGAAAGGGCAACAAGCAGCCUGCGGCAGGCAGGACAGAGACGGAUGAGCACAGAAGGCCUGUGUCACCUAUGUGUUGCAACUCGAGCUUCGGCGGACAGACCCUGGGGGAGGACGGGAUGGCUGCAUGGAAGCAGCCUGAAGCAGCUGGAGUGUGGCACAGGCUGCAGCCAGGGGUGUACCCAGACAGGGCCCGGACCUGCGUGAGAAGUGCUACCCUCAACAGGCACGUGAAGGGGGGGGCCCACCACAGCAGCCCCACUCUUGGCACGCUCACGGCAGGCACAGCUCCACCUCUACGAGCUCUCGGAGCACGCAAGUGUGGGCUGCCCACCCGUGGACGUGGGGCCGACGUUAGAGCCCUCUCCCCACAGCUGUGCCAUCUGUGGGCUUACUCUGCCACGGCUGCCCCACAGGUCUUGUAAACUCAGCAUCUGUGGGACACCCAAGUGGGUUAUGGGGGCUCCCAUGGCGGGGGCACGCCUGGCAGCAGCAGCUGUGGGCUUUGUGGGUACACCCAUGUAGAGGCAGGGCCAGGGUCUCAGCAGCUUCCGUAGCUUGCGCUGUGAUCCUGGUACCUGACUUCAGUAUAUCUGUAUCUACUGAUUUGUGCUGGUGGCUUCAUGAACAGAGAAUCUGAGGGCCAACAGGGCCUACUGCCUGCAUUCCCACGGUUGAGGCAGGGCCGAGAGCAGUGCUGACAACACUUUACUCUGAGCCCACACGACACGUGACGGGCGACCACACAACGCAGUCACCGGUGGACAGCUCUUGCGGAGGAAUACUCAGGAUCCUCUCCCAAUGCGAGUGCUCCAGUCCUGCCUGCCUCACAUGGCAGCUCAGAAACAGAUGUGCAAUUCUACUCCAACAACUGGGGACCAGACCCUGCCCCAACAGGGCUGUGACAACCACAGAGCAAAAAGGAGUGCCUAAUCAAUACCCAUCGUAGGCUCUAGUCACCCCUAAACCAGUCACACCCACAUCAAGGGGAUAACGGACAGCACACAGUGAGGAGAGACGUGCACAGUAUCCAUACUAAAAACAGCCCUAGCACCAAAAAUAUUAGACUCACACAGGCUACACAGGGAAGCUCCCACACAGAAACAGCCCUCCAAGACCACAGAAGAUAACUGAUUCUCCUAAAAUCAUAGAGUCAGAGAAAUAUAAGUAAAAUGAAGAAGCAAAGGAACCACUCCCAAAUCAAAGAUCAUGAGAAUUCCCCUGAAAGAACAAUGAAACAGAACUCUCCAGUCUAAUAGACUCCAAGUACAAAAAGGUGGUAAUAAAAAUAUUGAAAGAAUUAUGAAAGGCUAUUGAGAGCAAUGCAGAUUCCUGUAAAACAGAACUAGAAACUAUAAAAAGGAACCAAGUAAAAUUAGAAAACUCAUUUGCUGAGGCAAAAGCUGAGCUGAAGGCAAUGAAUCACAAACUGAAUAAUGCAGAAUGAAUUAGUGAUAUGGAAGAUAAAAUAAUGGAAAUCACCCACUCAGAACAGCAGGCAGAAAACAAAAAAAAAAUGAAAGCAAUAUACAAUACCUAUGGGAUAAUAUAAAGCAUGCCAAUCUAUGCAGAAUACUGAUCCCAGAAGAAAACAGAGAAAAGGAGAUCAAAAAUGUAUUUGAAGAAAUAAAUGAAAGAGACAAAAAAAAAAAGAUCAAUAAAACUAAAAGCUGGUCCUUUGAAAAGAUAAACAAAAUUGAUAAACCUUUUCUGAGAAACAUGAAAAAAAAAAGGGACAGGUCCCAAAUCAAUAAAAUCAGAAGUGAAAAAGAAGUUAAAACAGACACCACCAUAAUACAAAAGAUUAUUAAGAAACUACUAUGAACAAGUAUAUGCCAAUAAAAUGGACAACCUAGAAGAAAUGUACAAAUUCUUAGAAAAGUACAAUCUCCCAGGACUGAACCAGGAAGAAAUACAAACUAUGAAUGGUUCAAUUACCAGUAAUGAAAUUGAAUCAGUAAUUUUAAAACUCCCAAAGAACAAAAGUCCAGGACCAGUGGCUUCAUAGCUGAAUUCUACAAAACGUCUAGUGAAGAGUUAACACCUAUCCUGAAACUAUUCCAAAAAGCUGCAGAGGAAGGAACACUUCCAAACUCGUUCUGUGAGGCCAGCAUCACCCUGAUACCAAAACUAGACAAAUAUAUCACAAAAAAAGAAAAUUACAAGCCAAUAACAUUGAUGAACAUAGAUGCAAAAAUACUCAUCAAAAUACUAGCAAACCGGGCUUCCCUGGUGGUGCAGUGGUUGACAGUCCACCUGCCGAUGCAGGGGACACGGGUUCGUGCCCCAGUCUGGGAAGAUCCCACAUGCCGUGGAGCAGCUGGGCCCGUGAGCCAUGGCCGCUGAGCCUGCACGUCCGGAGCCUGAGCUCCACAACAGAAGAGACCACAAAGGUGAGAGGCCCGCGUACCGAAAAAUAAAUAAAUAAAAUAAAAUACUAGCAAACCUACUCCAACAAUACAUUAAAAGGUUCAUACACCAUGAUCAAGUGGAAUUUAUCCCAGUUGUACAGGGAUUUUUCAGUAUCUGCAAAUCAAUGUGAUACACUACAUUAACAAAUUGAAGAAUAAAAACCAUAUGAUCAUUUCAAUAGAUGCCAAAAAGCCUUUUAAUAAAAUUCAACAUCUAUUUAUGAUAAAAACUCUACAGAAGGGCUUCCCUUGGUGGUGCAGUGGUUGACAGUCCGCCUGCCGAUGCAGGGGACACGGAUUCAUGCCCCGGUCCGGGAGGAUCCCACAUGCCGCGGAGCAGCUGGGCCCAUGAGCCAUGGCCGCUGAGCCUGCACGUCCAGAACCUGUGCUCUGCAACGGGAGAGGCCCACGUACCGCAAAAAAAAAAAAAAAAAUACAGAAGGCAGGCAUAGAGGGAACAUACCAUGAUAAAAGUCAUAUGUAACAAACCCACAGCUAACAUUACAGUCAACAGUGGAAAGCUGAAAGCAUUUCCUCUAAGAUCAAGAACAAGACAAAGAUGCCCAUUCUCACCAUUUUUAUUCAACAUAAUUUUGGAAGUCCUAGCCAUAAAAGAAAUCCAUGGAAAGGAAGAAGUAAAAGUGUCAUUGUUUGUAGAUUACAUGAUACUAUACAUAGAAAAGCCUAAAGACACCAUCAGAAAACUACUAGUUGAAUUCAGUAAAGUUGCAGGAUACAAAAUUAAUACACAGAAAUCUGUUGCAUUUCUAUACACAAAAAAUGAAAGAUCAGAAAGAGAAAUUAAGAAAACAAUCCCAUUUACCAUCACAUCAAGAAGAAUAAAAUACCUAAGAAUAAACCUGCCUAAGGAGGCAAAAGAACUGUAUUCUGAAAACUGUAAGACACUGAUGAAAAAAACUGAAGAGGACAGAAAGAGAUGGAAAGAUAUACCAUGUUCCUGGAUUGGAAGAAUCAAUAUUGCCAAAAUGCCUAUACUACCCAAAGCAAUCUACAGAUUCAGUGCAAUACGUAUCAAAUUACCAAUUGCAUUUUUCACAGAACUAGAAAAAAAAAUUUUUUAGUUUGUAUGGAAACACAAAAGACAAAUAGCCAAAGCAAUCAUGAGAAAGAAGAACAGACCUGGAGAAAUCAGGCUCCCUAAGGACUAAACUACAAACUACAGUAACUGAAACAGUAUGGUACUGGCAUACACAAAAAAAGACAUGGAUCAAUGGAACAGGAUAGAAAGCCCAGAAAUAAACCCACAUACCUAUGGUCAAUUAAUCUACCACAAAGGAGGCAAGAAUAUACAAUGGAGAAAAGAUAAUCUCUUCAAUAAAUGGUGCUGAGGGCUUCCCUGGUGGUGCAGUGGUUGAGAGUCCGCCUGCCAAUGCAGGGGACACGGGUUCAUGCCCCGGUCCAGGAAGAUCCCACGUGCCGCGGAGCGGCUGAGCCCGUGGGCCGUGGCCACUGGGCCUGCGCAUCCAGAGCCUGUGCUCCGCAACAGGAGAGGCCAGAACAGUGAGAGGCCCGUGUACUGCAAAAAAAAAAAAAAAAAAAAAAUAGCAUUGGAAGAAAAAAGUUACACGAGGGGCUUCCCUGGUGGCGCAGUGGUUGAGAGUCCGCCUGCCGAUGCAGGGGACAUGGAUUCAUGCCCCGGUCCGGGAGGAUCCCACAUGCCGCGGAGUGGCUGGGCCCGUGAGCCAUGGCCGCUGAGCCUGCACGUCCGGAGCUUGUGCUCCGCAGCGGGAGAGGCCACAACAGUGAGAGGCCCACGUACCGCAAAAAAUAAAUAAAUAAAUAAAUAAAUACAAAAUAAAUAAAAAUAAAUAAAUGGUGCUGGAAAACCUGGACAGCUACAUGUAAAAGAAUGAAAUUAGAACAUUCUCUAACACCAUAUACAAAAAUAAACUAAAAAUGGAUUAAAGACCUGAAUGUUAAGACCAGAUACUACAAAACUGUUAGAGGAAAACAUACGCAGAACACUCUUUGACAUAAAUCACAGCAGUAUCUUUUUGAAUCUGUCUCCUAGACCAAUGGAAAUAAAAACAAAGGGGACCUAAUUAAACUUAACAGUUUUUGCACAGCAAAGGAAACCAUAAACAAAACGAAAAGACAACCCUACAGAAUGGGAGAAAAUAUUUUCAAAAGAUAUGACCCACAAUGGAUUAAUUUCCAAAAUAUACAAACAGCCCAGUAUCAAAAAAACAAACACAAAAUCUUAAUUAAAAAAUGGGCAGAAGAUCUAAAUAGACAUUUCACCAGAGAAGACAUACAGAUGACCAAAGGCACAUGAAAAAAUGCUUGACAUCACUAAUUAUUAGACAAAUGAAAAUCAAAACUACAAUGAAGUUAUCACCCCAUUCCGGUCAGAAAGGCUAUUAUCAAAAAGUCUACUAAUAAUAAAUUCUGAAGAGGGUGUGAGAAAAAGGAACCCUCCUAAACUGUCGGUGGAAAUGUAAACUGGUACAGCCACUACGGAGAACAGUAUGGAGAUGCCUUCAAAAACUAAAAAUAGAGUUACCAUAUGAUUCUGUAAUACCACUCCUGGGCAUAUAUCUGGAGAAAAUUAUAAUUCAAAAACAUAUAUGCACUGUAAUGUUCACACCAGCACUAUUUACAAUAGCCAAGACAUAGAAGGAACUUAAAUGUCCAUCAGCAGAUGAAUGGAUAAAGAUAUUGUAGUAUGUACAUACAAUGAAAUAUUACUCUACCAUAAAAAAGAAUGAAAUUUUGCCAUUUGCAAAAACACGGAUGGACUUCAAGAUUAUCAUACUAAGUGAAGUAAGUCAGAAAAAGAAAGGCAAAUACCAUAUGACAUCAUUUAUAGGUGGAAUCUAAGAUAUGACACAAAUGAACUUACCUGUGAAACAGACUCACAGACAUAGAGAACAGACUUGUGGUUUCCAAGGGGAAGAGGGGGCACAGGAGGGAUGGACUGGGAGUCUGGGUUUAGCAGAUGCAAACUAUUAUAUAUAGAAUGGAUAAACAACAAGGUCCUACUAUUAUAGCACAGGGAACUGUAUGCAAUAUCCUGUGAUAAACCUUAAUGGAAAAGAAUAUAAAAUGUACAUAUAUGUAUAACCGAAUCACUUUGCUAUACAGCACAAAUUAACAGAACAUUGUAAAUCAACUAUACUUCAAUUAAAAAAAAAAAAUGAGGUCAGCAUCACACUGAUACCAAAACCAGACAAAGAUAUCACAAGAAAAUUACAGGCCAGUAUCACCAAUGAACAUAGAUGCAAAAAUGCUCAACAAGAUAUUAGCAAACUGAAUCCAACAAUACAUUAAAAAGAUCAUAGAUCAUGAUCAAGUGGAAUUUAUCCUAGGAUGAAAAGAUUUUUCAAUAUCUGCAAAUCAAUCAAUAUGAUACAACACAUUAACAAACUGAAAAAUAAAAACCAGAAGGAGGAACCAAGAUGGUGGAGCAGUAGGAUGUGAAGCUCACCUUCUCCCACAAAUAUCUCCAUGGGGAACGAUUCUCACAUAAUAUCUACUGAACACUGGCAGACCAACUCAGACUGCUGAAAGGGCAAGAAAAUCUCUACAUAACUGGGUAGGAAAAAAAAGAAAAGAAAAGGAAGUGAGAAAGCAGUCGGGACAGGACCUGCGCCCCUGGGAGGGAGCUGUGAAAGAGGGAAGGUUCCUGCACCCUGGGAAGCCCCCUCACUGGCAGGGAGAUCUGCUGAGACAGAAGGGGAGCUUCAGAGCCUCCGAGGAGAAUGCAGCAGAUGGUUUGAGGCAGCCAGAGUGGAGGGAGAAGCACAUAGUCAGUGCCACUGCCCUGCACUUCCCAGCCUGAGAUGCACAUCCUGGGAGCUGGAACUCAGGCCCUGGUGAUCAGGCCUGGGAAGAGGACUGGGGAUGGUUGUGUGGAAGCAGGCCUGGGGGUGGGGGGGGCACGGGGAGACUGGAUUCUGGUGCAACCACAACUGAGGGUGUAUGUGGAGGAAGCCCGGGGUGCCUUAGAGGCCAGGCACCAUUGUUUGAGGGGUGUGUGAGGGAAGGGGUGACUCACCAUCAUACCCUUUUCCCCUGUGCACGUGCCUGUUCUCAGAACAGGACACCUCCUGUGCUGGCUCCAGGGCUCGUCAUGAUCCGCCUCUGCCACCCUCACAGACUCCAGAAGUGGUCAGGAGCUGCCACCACUACCUGGACUCCAGGAAUGGUCACAAGCCACCUCCAUUCCCAUUACAUGCUCAGGGGGUGCACCUGAGCCACCACCGCUGCCUAAAACCCCAGGACCCGACACCAGCCACCUCACCUGCACAUCUCCUAUCAAGAAGAUAACGAUUCUCACACACUGAUGACACACACGACAGGCAUCCAUACUAAAAACAGCCCUUGCACCAAAUAUAUUAAGCCCACACAACCCCCACAUACAAAUAGCCCUCGAAGACCACAGCAGACAGUUGCUUCUCCUCAACUCACAGGGUAAGACAAAUAUAAUUAAAAUGAAAAAGUAGAGGAACCACUCCCAGUUAAAAGACCAAGAGAAUUUCCUUGAAACAACAAACAAUGAAACAGAUCUCUUCAGUCUAACAGACACCGACUUCAAAAAGAAGAUUCUGAAAAUACUGAAGGAAUUAAUAAAGGCUAUCAACAGAAAUGCAGAGUAGUGUAAAAAGGAACUACAAACUAUUAAGAGGAACCAAUAAAAACUAGAAAACUCAUUUGCACAUACAAAAGCUGAGCUAAAGGCAAUCAACUGCCCAAUGAAUAAUGCAGAAGAAAGAAUAAGUGACCUGAAGGAUAGAAUAAUGGAAAUCACACAAUCAUGACAGCAGACAGAAAACCAAAUGAAAAAAUAAAAUAAAAGCAAUAUAAGAGAUCUGUGGGAUAUAAUAAAGUGUGCCAAUCUGUAUACAAUAGGGAUUCCAGAGGGGAAGAAAGAGAAAAGGGGAUCAAAAAUGUAUCUGAAGAAAUUAUGGCCGAAAAAUUUCCAAACGCAAAAAAAGGAAACAGAUAUCCAGGUACAGGAAGUAAAGAGAGUCCCAAACAAAAUAAAUGUGGAACCAUAAAAAAACCAGAAUUGCCAAAGCAAUCCUGAAGAAAAAGAACAAAGCAGGAGGCAUAAUCAUCACAGACUUCAGACAAUACUACAAAGUUACAGUAAUCAAACAGCAUGGUAUUGGCACAAAAACAGACAUAUGUAUCAAUGGAACAGAAGAGAGAGCCCAGAAAUAAACCCACAUGCCUAUGAUCAAUUCAUCUUCAACAAAGGACGCAAGAAUAUACAAUGGGGAAAAGACAUUCUCUUCAGCAAGUGGUGUUGGGAAAGUUGGACAGCCACAUGUAAAUCAGUGAAGUUAGAACACACCCUCUCACCAUACACAAAAAUAAACUCAAAAUGGCUUAAGGACUUAAACAUAAGACAUGACACCAUAAAACUCCUAAAAGAGAACAUAGGCAAAACAUUCCCUGACAUAAAUUGUACCAAUGUUUUCUUAGGUCAGUCUCCCAAGGCAAUAGAAAUAAAAGCAAAAAGAAACAAAUGGGACCUAAUCAAACUUACAAGAUUUUGCAUAGUAAAGGAAACCAUCAAUAAAACGGAAAGACAACCUACAGAAUGGGAGAAAAUAUUUGCAAACAAUGCAAUCGACAAGGGCUUAGUUUCCAAAUAUACAAACAGCUCAUACAACUCAACAACAAAAAAACAACCCAGUUGAAAAAUGGGCAGAAUACCUAAAUAGACAUUUCUUCAAAGAAAAAAUGGCCAGUAGGCACAUGAAAAGAUCCUCAACAUCGCUCAUUAUUAGAGAAAUGCAAAUCAAAACUAAAAUUAGGUACCACCUCAUACCAGUCAGGACGGCCAUCCUUAAAAAUUUUACAAAUAACAAAUGCUGGAGAGGGUAUGGAAAAAGGGAACCCUACACUGUUGGUGGUAAUGUAAGUUGGUGCAGCUACUGUGGAAAAAAGUAUGGAGGUUCCUCAGAAAACUAAAAAUAGAAUUACCAUAUGAUCCAGCAAUCCCAGUCCUGGACAUAUAUCUAGGCAAAACUAUAAUUCAAAAAGACACAUGGGGCUUCCCUGGUGGUGCAGUGGUUGAGAGUCCGCCUGCCGAUGCAGGGGACUCGGGUUCGUGCCCUGGUCCGGGAGGAUCCCACAUGCCGCGAGGCGGCUGGGCGCGUGAGCCAUGGCUGCUGGGCUUGCGCAUCCGGAGCCUGUGCUCUGCAGCGGGAGAGGCCACAGCGGUGAGAGGCCCGCGUACCGCAAAAAAAAAAAAAAAAAGACACAUGAACCCCUAUGUCCAUAGUACUAUUCACAAUAGCCAAGACAUGAAAACAACCUAAAUGUCCAUCAACAGAAGAAUUUAUGAAGAAGAUGUGGUACAUAUAUACAAUGGAAUACUACUCAGCCAUAAAAAGGAACGAAAUAAUGCCACCUGCAGCAACAUGGAUGCAACUAGAGAUUAUCAUACUAAGUGAAGUAAGUCAGAAAGAGAAAGACAAAUACCGUAUGUUAUUACUUAUAUAUGGAAUCUAAAAUAUGACACAAAUGAACCUAUCUAUAAAACAGCAACAGAAUCACAGAUAUAGAGAACAGGCUAGUGGUUGCCAAGGGGGAUGGGGUUGGGGAAGGGGUGGAGUAGGAGGUUGGGGUUAGCACAUGUAAGCUUUUAUAUAUAGACUGGAUAAACAACAAGGUCCUACUGUGUAGUACAAAGAACUAUAUUCAAUAUCCUAUGAUAAACCAUAAUGGAAAAGUACAUUAAAAAAAGAAUAUAUAUAUAUAACUAAAUCACUGCUGUACAGCAGAAAUUAACACAACAUUGUACAUCAACUAUACUUCAAUUAAAAAAUACUGAUCAUAGGGCUUCCCUGGUGGCACAGUGGUUGAGAAUCUGCCUGCCAAUGCAGGGGACACGGGUUCAAGCCCUGGUCUGGGAAGAUCCCACAUGCCGUGGAGCAAGUAGGCCCGUGAGCCACAAUUGCUGAGCCUGCGCGUCUGGAGCCUGUGCUCCGCAACAAGAGAGGCCACGAUAGUGAGAGGCCCGCGCACCGCGAUGAAGAGCGGCCCCCACUUGCCACAACUAGAGAAAGCCCUCGCACAGAAACGAAGACCCAACACAGCCAUAAAUAAAUAAAUUAAUAAUAAAAAAAU